CUGCUUCCCGCGUCCCACAGUGUCAUGAUGGCGGCGCGGGGGUUCGGACGUGUUAUCACGAUUUGUUUGUGUGUUGCCGUUUGUGUAGAGGGCUAUCGGUCCCGUUCCACGUCUUUGACGGACUCUCUUAACAUUUUGAGCAAGAACACAGGGAACAUAAACAACUCCGGCAUCGUAAACUCCGGUUUCAACGAAUUAGAUUUCCGAUUUGGUCAGAAUGAGGACGACAAGACGAAUGACGAACCGGAAGACAAAGCCAAUGCGACCGGGCCAAAGCAGGCCGCAGAAGCGAAGUUGACGUUUCCAGGUAACUGCCAACCUUCUCGCACAAAGCUGCGCGACGGCUCUGCGUGCUCCGGGCAGACGCUGUUUGAGGACAACUUCGACAGUCUGAACGAGAGCGUGUGGCAGAUUGAGCAAUACAUACCUAAUACUCAUCCCGAGCACCCCUUCGUAUCAUACCAGCACCUAACUACAGGCCAGACGAUCUCAACCGCUGGAGGACAUUGAUCACUUAUGUUGCUAUAACUGAAUUCUAUACUGCUUAUAAGUAUAGUUAUGGAGAAGAAUGAAGGUUUAAAUUUGCUUACGUUUAAUUUAAAUAUAUAUUGCACAUCAACGGAAAGUCGGUGUGAGAUGACGGUGGAUGGUGCGGACAUCUUGCCGCCAGUGGCGAGCGGCCGCAUCACCUCCAAGACCUUCGCGUUCACGUACGGCAAGGUGUACGUGCGAGCCAAACUGCCGCAAGGAGACUGGCUGUAUCCAGAAAUUCUUCUGGAACCGUUCUUAAAAAGUAUGGCUCUCCACAUUACUCGUCGGGGAUUAUAAAGAUAGCAACUGCUCGCGGCAAUAGACAGCUUUACUACGGACAAGAUGAUUACAGUAAUAAGCUGCUAUACGGAGGGCCCAUAAUGGAUCUAGACUGUCGAGAAACACUCCUAUUAUCCAGCAAGCUAAGAAGCGACGGCUCUGCUUGGGGCGACAACUUCCAUGUUUAUUCAUUAGAGUGGACGCCAGAGCAUAUAGUGCUAGCGGUGGAUGAUGAGGUAUGGGGACGCGUGGAGCCGACGGGGAGCGGCCUUCAAGACCAGUUCCCGUCCUUUGCAAAAGAACUCCCGCGGUCGCAGCUGCGCGCUGGUUCACUCAUGGCGCCGUUCGAUGAUCACUUCUACCUAACCCUGGGCGUGGCGGCAGGGGCAUCACAGAGUUCCCCGACGACUCGAUCACAAGCAACAACAAACGAAAGCCGUGGCGCGACGGUGGUCGCAAAGCCAUGCUCAACUUCUGGCAGGACACCAACUCCUGGCUGUCCACCUGGAAACUACCCCGACUCGAAAUUGACUAUGUCAAAGUAGUCGCGCUGUAAUAUAGGACAUUUGGAAACGCUUUUGUUUUCUUUGGAGCCGAAUUUAAUUGUGAAAAUUGUCUUAACUUUGUUCAGAGGCUUAUUGCCUUCAUGUCAUAAAUUAAAUAUCCCAAACACGUUGGAAGUAUUACGCAGUAUGGUAUAUUAUUCACAAAUAUCUCAUCAUUAUUGUAUAACACGUUAAGAAUACGAAAAUAAACAGUUUUUAAUAAUCAGA
rnacentral:sRNA from 1 species